rnacentral:rRNA from 1 species
UACGUAGGGGGCAAGCGUUGUCCGGAAUCAUUGGGCGUAAAGCGCACGUAGGCGGCUUUGUAAGUUAGAGGUGAAAGCCCGGGGCUCAACUCCGGAAUUGCCUUUAAGACUGCAUCGCUAGAAUUGUGGAGAGGUAAGUGGAAUUCCGAGUGUAUAGGUGAAAUUCGUAGAUAUUCGGAAGAACACCAGUGGCGAAGGCGACUUACUGGACACAUAUUGACGCUGAGGUGCGAAAGCGUGGGAGCAAACAGG